CAAAGGCUUGGUCCUAGCCUUACUGUCAGCUAUUACUCAACUUACACAUGCAAGUAUCCGCACACCCGUGAAAACGCCCUUUCAAUCUUCCUAGGAAAAGGAGCUGGUAUCAGGCACAGAACACUUGCCCAUAACACCUAGCUAUGCCACGCCCCCAAUGGGUCUACAGCAGUGAUAAACAUUGUCUAUAAGCGCCAGCUUGACC
rnacentral:rRNA from 1 species